UACCCAUCAAAUAAUUAUAUAAAAUACAUUAUGCUAGUACCAUUUCAAUAACUAUAUCAAUUAAAAAUUGAGGUUCUGUCAUGCCUGAAAUUAUGGUAAAUCUUUUCUUCAACACACCAAAUUCUCUUUCAAUAACAUUACAUAAUGAAGAAUGCUGCAGGUUAAAUAAUUCUUCAGAAUUCUCUGGAGAAUGUUCUGAGUACUCUUUCAAGUGAUAAUGCACUCUCUAUAUGGUGU
rnacentral:lncRNA from 1 species